AGAGUUUGAUCCUGGCUCAGAACGAACGCUGGCGGCGUGGAUUAGGCAUGCAAGUCGAACGGGCAUCUUGUGUAGCAAUAUAUGAGGUGCUAGUGGCGUAAGGGCGAGUAACACGUGGGCAACGUGCCUCGGCGCUGGGGAUAACCUUCCGAAAGGAGGGCUAAUACCGAAUGUGGUCGUUUCGCGCAAGCGGGACGGCUAAAGGUGGGGAUCCGCAAGGACCUACCGCGCAGAGAGCGGCCCGCGUCCUAUCAGCUUGUUGGUGGGGUAACGGCCUACCAAGGCGACGACGGGUAGCCGAGUUGAGAGACUGACCGGCCGCACUGGGACUGAGACACUGCCCAGACUCCUACGGGAGGCUGCAGUCGAGGAUCAUUCGCAAUGGGCGAAAGCCUGACGAUGCGACGCCGCGUGAACGAAGAAGGCCUUCGGGUUGUAAAGUUCUUUGAGCAGGGACGAACGCUUUCCCGCGAACAGCGGGUAGAGCCUGACGGUACCUGCAGAACAAGCCACGGCUAACCUCGUGCCAGCAGCCGCGGUAAUACGAGGGUGGCUAGCGUUGUUCGGAGUUAUUGGGCGUAAAGGGCGUGUAGGCGGCCCGAGAAGUCUGGUGUGAAAUCGCAGGGCUCAACCCUGCGGGUGCGCUGGAAACUGGUGGGCUUGAGUUCUUGAGGGGAAGCUGGAAUUCCAGGUGUAGGGGUGAAAUCUGUAGAUAUCUGGAAGAACACCGGUGGCGAAGGCGAGCUUCUAUCA
rnacentral:rRNA from 1 species